UCCUGGAGAUCUGGAGGAUCUGGUCACAAGUCAAAGGGCUGGAGUUCACUGCAGAGUCCCGUGAGAGUCCUUAUCAAGAAGCCGAAGGGUCUGCGCUAAAAGGCUGACGAGUCUGAGCUAGCAGCCUGGAGAUGGAUGUCCGAAGGCAAGGAUGAAGACUGGAGCUCCCGAAACAGAAGUCACUUUUUUCUUCUUUCCAUUUUUAUUCUAAGGAGGCUACAAAGCUGCUUGGACCACCCACACCCAUGGAUUGAAGAAGAAGAAGAAGAAGAAGAAGAAGAAGAAGAAGAAGAAGAAGAAGAAGAAGAAGGAAAGAAGGAAAGAAAGAAAGAAAGAAAGAAAGAAAGAAAGACGAAGGAGGAGGAGGAGGAAGAAGAGGAAGAAGGAGAAGGAGAAGGAGAAAAAGAAGAAAACUACAACAAAAUUUGAAAACACAUCCAUCAGGGGCAACCAUGGACUUUUAUUAAACACACACUAUUACCGUCUUCAUUUUACUGAUGAAAAACUGAGGCAGAAAGAAAUAGAGACGUACGGCAAGGGAAUGUCAGAAGAGGGAAUGAUAAAAUCUGGGCAGCCCAGUUCCAUGUUGAUUUGUGUAACUUUUACAAUGAUCGGAAAAGUGGCUUAAAGAAUGGCAUCCCAUGGGGAGUCAAAUCGUAAGAGUGACAUGACCCCGUUGACUUGUGUCCCUUGUAUCUGAGGGUGUUUCUGAUAGCACCUGUCCGAAGAUCACCAGACGAGGCUGCUGGUCAGUACUGUGGCUCACAGGAUCUUGCUCCAUCACAAGGGCUUCGCAGAAAAUGGAAAUGAAUUGGGCCUCAUCAUGCCUUAAAUACACAAACCUGCACCACAAGAAUGUUGAAUGGGCAUGGAGCUUACCAACCAGGGAAAAUUCUGCAAGCCAAAGUUAUCAACAAACAGUUACAUGAUUGUGGCAGUAACACUGCCAAUUUAAAGAGCUCACAGGAUGUGGGCUGAGGUGUGGCUCAGCAGUAGAGUACUUACCUAGCACACACAGGACUCUGGGUCCCCUCUCCAGCACCAAUGUGCAAAACAGAGUUUGUGAGGCGUGACCGGCCCUGCAUUCAUGCAUCGUGUAAUGAAAGGUUCAUAGAUGAUCUCCCACUGAUCUACGUAAAUUAGCAAGAAAAAUUUUAACAUGCAUUGAUAUUUUGCAUAUUCCACAUCUGUGACAUCCUGUGUAUUACUGUUCAAUAAAAUGUAUCUUUGGUAACAUAAAAAAU